GGAGCAGUAGCUCAGAGGUAGAGCAGCGGACUGCAGUUCCGAAGGUCGCUGGUUCAAUUCCGGCCUGCUCCU
rnacentral:tRNA from 1 species